rnacentral:rRNA from 1 species
AGUCGAGCGAAUGACGAGGAGCUUGCUCNUCUGAUUUAGCGGCGGACGGGCUGAGUAACACGUGGGUAACCUGCCUGUAAGACGGGGAUAACUCCGGGAAACCGGAGCUAAUACCGGAUGAUAACGAGAAGCGCCUGCUUCUUUUUUGAAAGUCGGNUUCGGCUGACGCUUACAGAUGGGCCCGCGNCGCCNUUAGCUAGUUGGCGAGGUAACGGCUCACCAAGGCGACGAUGCGUAGNCGACCUGAGAGGGUGAUCGGCCACCCUGGGACUGAAACACGGCCCAAACUCCUACGGGAGGCAGCCUUAGGGAAUCUUCCGCAUUGGACGAAAGUCUGACAGAGCAACGCCGCGUGAGCGAUGAAGGCCUUCGGGUCGUAAAGCUCUGUUGUCAGAGAAGAACAAGUACCGGAGUAACUGCCGGUACCUUGACGGUACCUGACCAGAAAGCCACGGCUAACUACGUGCCAGCAGCCCGCGGUAAUACGUAGGUGGCCAAGCGUUGUCCCGGAAUUAUUGGGCGUAAAGCGCGCGCAGGCGGUUUCUUAAGUCUGAUGUGAAAGCCCACGGCUCAACCCUGGAGGGGUCCAUUGGAAACUGGGGAGCUUGAGUGCAGAAGAGAAAAGUGGAAUUCCACGUGUAGCGGUGAAAAUGCGUAGAGAUGUGGAGGAACACCAGUGGCGAAGGCGGCUUUUUGGCCUGUAACUGACGCUGAGGCGCGAAAGCGUGGGGAGCAAACAGGAUUAGAUCCCCUGGGUAGUCUCACGCCCGUAAAACGAUGAGUGCUAGGUGUUGGGGGGUUCCCACCCCUCAGUGCUGACGUUAACACAUUAAGCACUCCGCCUGGGGAGUACGGCCGCAAGGCUGAAACUCAAAGGAAUUGACGGGGGCCCGCACAAGCAGUGGAGCAUGUGGUUUAAUUCGAAGCAACGCGAAGAACCUUACCAGGUCUUGACAUCCUCUGACCACUUGAGAGAUCAAAGCUUUUCCCUUCGGGGGACAGAGUGACAGGUGGUGCAUGGUUGUCGUCAGCUCGUGUCGUGAGAUGUUGGGUUAAGUCCCGCAACGAGCGCAACCCUUGACCUUAGUUGCCAGCAUUCAGUUGGGCACUCUAAGGUGACUGCCGGUGACAAACCGGAGGAAGGUGGGGAUGACGUCAAAUCAUCAUGCCCCUUAUGACCUGGGCUACACACGUGCUACAAUGGGUGGUACAAAGGGUUGCGAAGCCGCGAGGCCGAGCCAAUCCCAAAAAGCCACUCUCAGUUCGGAUUGUAGGCUGCAACUCGCCUACAUGAAGCCGGAAUUGCUAGUAAUCGCGGAUCAGCAUGCCGCGGUGAAUACGUUCCCGGGCCUUGUACACACCGCCCGUCACACCACGAGAGUUUGUAACACCCGAAGUCGGUGGGGUAACCUUU